AGGCAGUGGGUGAGGCAGCAGUUGAGGCAGUGGUAUUUAAUAACAUACAUGUUAUUAAUAAUAAUACAUGUUAUUAGUAAUAUGUAUUAUUAUUAUUUAUAACAUGUUAUUAAAUACCACUGCCUCAACUGCUGCCUCUACCAGUGCUUCAACUGCUGCCUCACCCACUACCUCAACCACUGCCUCAACCACUGCCUCAACUGCUGACUCAACCAUUGCCUCACCCACUGCCUCAACCGCUUCCCCAACCACUGCCUCUACCACUCCAGUCGCACUCAAUCUACAAGCACCAAACACAAUGAAUUAUUGUGAAAUGUUUGGAAGAGCACGGAGACUAAUGCUCACUCCAGCAUAAACAAAGCCACACUGACUAUGUGCCCCCGGAACUCACUCCAGCCAUGUCUGACAAAUGAAAUGACAGUUAUAGAGGGAUUGUUUCCUGUGUUCCACUGGACAGAGACCCAGAUUUGCUUGUAAACAGAUAAUGCAUCAUAAUGCAGAUAAAGAUGCUAUCAAGAGACAUGGUAAACAAGAGAUGUUCAAGGCUGCUACCAGCAAAACACAGCAUACUAUUUUACAGUAAACUUUUUUUAUCAACACCUUCACUUCAUGACUUAAAAAGGAGGUCAAAUAUUUUUACAAGAGAUCUUCUUCAACAAACCAGCCGUAUCCCACCGAGGCAGGGUGACCCAAAGAGAAAAACAGAAGUUUCUCUUCAUAACUUUAGUAAUGUAUAAAGAAGGGGUUACUAACUCCUUGCUCCCUUCUACAAGAUAUAUUACUAUAAAUUUUAUGAUAAAAUGAAAGAAAGGAUACUAUCAGAUUAUCAUGUAAAUCCUUCAAUAUAUUUCAUGUCUAACAAAAAUUUCUAGUACAGCGAGAUAACAUGACAUCAGUAAGGCUAGUACUGUUUGUCCCUUCAACUUUUUUUCUAUGUCUUAUGAGCAAUACAAAUUAGUUACAGCAGUUAUACAUUAAAAUUAGUCAUGGUUUGAAAUCUUACUGUAACACAACUCUACUUUAAUACAAUAAAAGGCUUAAAAGAAACUGGUGCUGAAUUGAUUUCCCCAAUAGUGUAAUUUCACACCUCUAAAUUGUGUAUUUUCUUUAUUAUUUUUUACAGCUAAAUUUACUCUAAAUGCCAUUUAAGAAAAAUAAGACAUUUAUUGAAUGGGAACCCUCCUCGCAGAUAGCCCCACCUUUGCCAGCAAUAGCUUUAUUAAACCAGCUUUGAUUAUACAUACUUCCUUUAGCACUCCUCGCUGCCCUUCCUAACUGUACCUCUGUUACACUCUUCAUCCACGCUAAUCUCUGAUCAGGCAUAUUACACAUUUUAGCACAGUCUACCCUGCAGCACUUUACGACUCUUAUGGGUUUAGCACUUAGUUAUGAUCAUAAUAAUAAUAAUAAU